GAUGAACGCUGGCGGCGUGCCUAAUACAUGCAAGUCGAGCGAACAGACGAGGAGCUUGCUCCUCUGACGUUAGCGGCGGACGGGUGAGUAACACGUGGAUAACCUACCUAUAAGACUAGGAUAACUUCGGGAAACCGGAGCUAAUACCGGAUAAUAUAUUGAACCGCAUGGUUCAAUAGUGAAAGACGGUUUUGCUGUCACUUAUAGAUGGAUCCGCGCCGCAUUAGCUAGUUGGUAAGGUAACGGCUUACCAAGGCAACGAUGCGUAGCCGACCUGAGAGGGUGAUCGGCCACACUGGAACUGAGACACGGUCCAGACUCCUACGGGAGGCAGCAGUAGGGAAUCUUCCGCAAUGGGCGAAAGCCUGACGGAGCAACGCCGCGUGAGUGAUGAAGGUCUUCGGAUCGUAAAACUCUGUUAUUAGGGAAGAACAAAUGUGUAAGUAACUAUGCACGUCUUGACGGUACCUAAUCAGAAAGCCACGGCUAACUACGU
rnacentral:rRNA from 1 species